rnacentral:rRNA from 1 species
CUGCACGCGCGGCUACACUGACAGAGACAACGAGUGGGGCCCCUUGUCCGAAAUGUACUGGGUAAACUUGUGAAACUUUGUCGUGCUGGGGAUAGAGCUUUGUAAUUUUUGCUCUUCAACGAGGAAUUCCUAGUAAGCNCAAGUCAUCAGCUUGCGUUGACUACGU